rnacentral:lncRNA from 1 species
AGCCCGGCCCGAAGACAGAAGAAGACCUGCUUCAAAACAGCGUCGGUUUGCGGCACCAGCGUCGUUUCAGAAGAAGCCUAUCCCCUGCUUCGACUCAUCCAACUCGCGCGAGAUCUCGCCAGAGCUAAGAAGCGUUUGACCCAACGGCCGUGAAGGACGGAAGGGGGAGGACCACUCCGGACCUUCUCUAUACUAUAAAAGAAAGAGGACGAGGCGUUGACGAGGGAGAGUUAAUCAGUAACGGAGGAGAGGGAGAAAUGAAAAGAAAGAGGAGUCCGUUUUGAUCAAGGGAGAAGUGAAAAGGGGAAGAAGUUGGGGCAGUCCAUCGGCAACGGGAAAAACCAAGGAGAAAAUCUUCAGAGAAGAAAGGGCUGAGAGGGUCACACAGACUAAUUAUUUGGGAUAUUCCGGUCUUGGUCCCAUAGGUAAAUUCCCGAAACCCUAAACCUGCUAUUAACUGUUGCCUUUUUCUUCGGUAACUAUAUAUACGAUUUGAUGAAGGCUGGGUAAUUCCCAUCAUCACAACAUUGCACGUGCUUCUCUUAUUGUUUUCUAUUUACUGUUUGGUUUUUCAUUUUUUUCUUUUUUUUUUUUCUCGUAUGAACAAGUGUAAGAGGAUUACAUUCAUUCAUUUGUAGCUACUGUUUUGACGAUAGUUAUAGCUAUUUAGUUUUAUUUCUGUAGCUGUGUUAUUGUUUGCUCGUAACUUUGAUGUAAGAACUUUAACAUGUUUCAUUAGUCUUUGACUUAGAACUUAAAAUAGAAGACUUCCAGCUGAAAUCAAUGAACUUUGUCAUAUACCUUUUCACCCGGGACCAUUCUUCCGACCUAAUUUCUUUAGAAUUGACUUGUGCAUCUAUCGGUGUGUAAUUCCACCUUAAGUGGAUAAGUGCAACUCCAUUGCGUUUUCUUGAAAAAAAAAAAAAAGUUGUUCUCAUGGAGUCCCUGGAGCCUAAUCAUCUCAGUUGUGACAGACACGAGUGUAAGUAUUGAUGUAACUUCAAUUAUUUGGCAUAUCUAGUUAUCUUAAAGAAGUCAUUGAUUAAAACAUAAAGGGUUUCAAGCACACAGACGCAUGGCCAUAUAGGCAUAUGGUAUGGAUCCUGAUUCUUACCAGUAUACAAUCAUAAAGGGUGUACGUUUGAUAUAUAUUAAUGCAUACUUUUCUAUAGCCUAUAUGCGUAUGGGUUCUGAAGAACUGGAGUAGGAAAAAGAUGUAUACAAAAAAAUUAUGCUUGUGAUGAGGUUAUUAUUUAUUAAAAGAUGAUUUGAUAGCUUAAUAGUCAUUUUUAACAUUUUAAACUGGGGCAGAUUGAGAAAGCAUGCUUAGAAGCCGUUCCUGGGCUUUGAGAUUGAUUGGAAGUUGAUAGGGAAUUCUCAUGAAGGACCAUAUUCAUUGUUGUUAUUUGUUUUAAAGGAUUAAAUUUCCAAUUUUAAGGGAAGUGUUUUGUCAAAAUUGGUAAAUUCUUAAAAACUUUAAAGCCAAUCCUUAAAUUUCAUCAUCUUUCUUCGGAGGUACUUAUGUUUGCUUGACGCAAUGUCUUAGGAAACGAGGAGACCUCACCUUCCGCCUCACAUCCUCGACUAUAAGCGGUGGGUUGCUUAGCUUCAUCUACUAGGUGAGCAACUUACUCUAAUCUCUAGUGAUUCACAAUUAAUUUAUCAUGCAUUAUCUUCAUGAAUGAGCGUGUUAUAUAAGUGAUACUAAGCUGUUGGAAC